UGAUGCCUAGGGAGGCAGCAGUGAGGAAUAUUGGUCAAUGGGCGCGAGCCUGAACCAGCCAAGUAGCGUGAAGGAUGACUGCCCUACGGGUUGUAAACUUCUUUUAUAAAGGAAUAAAGUGAGGCACGUGUGCCUUUUUGUAUGUACUUUAUGAAUAAGGAUCGGCUAACUCCGUGCCAGCAGCCGCGGUAAUACGGAGGAUCCGAGCGUUAUCCGGAUUUAUUGGGUUUAAAGGGUGCGUAGGCGGGCUUUUAAGUCAGCGGUAAAAAUUCGGGGCUCAACCCCGUCCGGUCGUUGAAACUGGG
rnacentral:rRNA from 1 species